AGUGAACGCUGGCGGUAGGCCUAACACAUGCAAGUCGAACGGCAGCACAGUAAGAGCUUGCUCUUACGGGUGGCGAGUGGCGGACGGGUGAGGAAUACAUCGGAAUCUACUUUUUCGUGGGGGAUAACGUAGGGAAACUUACGCUAAUACAGCAUACGACCUACGGGUGAAAGCAGGGGAUCUUCGGACCUUGCGCGAUUGAAUGAGCCGAUGUCGGAUUAGCUAGUUGGCGGGGUAAAGGCCCACCAAGGCGACGAUCCGUAGCUGGUCUGAGAGGAUGAUCAGCCACACUGGAACUGAGACACGGUCCAGACUCCUACGGGAGGCAGCAGUGGGGAAUAUUGGACAAUGGGCGCAAGCCUGAUCCAGCCAUACCGCGUGAGUGAAGAAGGCCUUCGGGUUGUAAAGCCCUUUUGUUGGGAAAGAAAAGCAGCAGGUGAAUACCCCGCUGUUCUGACGGUACCCAAAGAAUAAGCACCGGCUAACUUCGUG
rnacentral:rRNA from 1 species